CUCCGCCAGGCGGGGCGAAGUCGCCCACGUGACCCCAGAGCUUCCGCCCCAGGAUACCCCACCUGACCGCGGCCGCUGACCAACCACGUUCCGCUAGGACUGACAGUCUUAAUCCUGUGUUUGACAAUCGGAGAGACAGAUUGCAGCUGCCACUGCUAAAGGAUCCACACAGCUCACCCAAGCUUCAGGAAUCGUCCUACAGAGACUAUGCUGAGUCAGCAAUUGAAGAGGUUUUUAUUUUAUACAACGUCAUUACAAGUCUGGGAGAACUCAAAGAUUCUACAACUAAACUGUCUCAUCUCUUAGAACCUAAGCUGCCUUACAAUUACCUGUCACACAUGUACCUGUUUGGCUGAAUAUAGGCAGAGCUCAGAGAUGUUGUGGGUUUGGUUCCAGACUUCCGCAAUAAAGAUGAAAAAUUGCCUAUUGUGAAUUGGCGUCAGAAAAGCAAGCUAUAUGAAUUGAGAACAUAUAUAAUUACAAUGAUGGUAAGAAGAAAUAAAGAAUUGGACUUUAGGUUUUAAACUUUUAGCUAGGAAAGAUAAGACAGCAGCUUGUUUAAAUUCUCUUCUGAUGCCACUAGAAUGGAAAUUCCAUGAGGUUAGAGAUUGUGUUUUGAUCACUACUGUAUUCUCAUCAUCUAAAAAGAGUGCACGGUACAUAAUA